rnacentral:lncRNA from 1 species
UUAACAAAACAUUAACAACACUUAUAAUUCCACAAGUAAAGCAAUUUAUACAAUCAGAACUCCAAUCAUUUAUCACUAGUCCAUAUCAUUGUAGACUAAACUUAACAUUCCAAAAUUCCAAAUAAGAAAGAUCUUCUAACACUUUUACACGAUAUAUCCAUUCAGGUUCAUCGACAACAUUUUCAUUACAUACAAAAUAUGCUUAUUCAACAUUAACAUAACAACCAACAAGACUUGCCCACAAUUCUGAAUAGCUCUCCACUGCCUCAG